rnacentral:misc_RNA from 1 species
GAUGAAGAACGCAGCGAAAUGCGAUAAGUAAUGUGAAUUGCAGAAUUCAGUGAAUCAUCGAAUCUUUGAACGCUCAUUGCGCCCGUCAGUAUUCUGGCGGGCAUGCCUGUUCGAGCGUCAUUACGCCCCUCAAGUCCCCUGUGGACUUGGUGUUGGGGAUCGGCGAGGCUGGUUUUCCAGCACAGCCGUCCCUUAAAUUAAUUGGCGGUCUCGCCGUGGCCCUCCUCUGCGCAGUAGUAAAACACUCGCAACAGGAGCCCGGCGCGGUCCACUGCCGUAAAACCCCCCAACUUUUUAUAGUUGACCUCGAAUCAGGUAGGACUACCCGCUGAACUUAAGCAUAUCAAUAAGCGGAGGA